AAAGCGGAGCAAUCCGCAAGUAGAGUGGCGAACGGGUGAGUAAUACAUCGGAACAUUUCCAGUAGCGGGGGAUAACCUGUCGAAAGAUAGGCUAAUACCGCAUACGCCCUACGGGGGAAAGCGGAGGACCGCAAGGCUUCGCACUAUUGGAGUGGCCGAUGUCGGAUUAGCUAGUUGGCGGGGUAAAAGCCCACCAAGGCUACGAUCCGUAGCUGGUCUGAGAGGACGAUCAGCCACACUGGAACUGAGACACGGUCCAGACUCCUACGGGAGGCAGCAGUGGGGAAUUUUGGACAAUGGGCGCAAGCCUGAUCCAGCCAUGCCGCGUGAGUGAAGAAGGCCUUCGGGUCGUAAAGCUCUUUCGGUGGGGACGAAACGGUUCGUGCUAAUACCACGGACUAAUGACGGUACCCGAAGAAGAAGCACCGGCUAACUACGUGCCAGCAGCCGCGGUAAUACGUAGGGUGCAGGCGUUAAUCGGAAUUACUGGGCGUAAAGCGUGCGCAGGCGGUUUGCUAAGACAGGUGUGAAAUCCCCGGGCUUAACCUGGGAACUGCGCUUGUAACUGGCAAGCUAGAGUGUGGCAGAGGGGGGUGGAAUUCCAAGUGUAGCAGUGAAAUGCGUAGAUAUUUGGAGGAACACCGAUGGCGAAGGCAGCCCCCUGGGCUAACACUGACGCUCAUGCACGAAAGCGUGGGGAGCAAACAGGAUUAGAUACCCUGGUAGUCCACGCCCUAAACUAUGUCAACUGGUUGUCGGGGAAGCAAUUCCUUGGUAACGAAGCUAACGCGUGAAGUUGACCGCCUGGGGAGUACGGCCGCAAGGUUAAAACUC
rnacentral:rRNA from 1 species